UACGUAGGGGGCAAGCGUUAUCCGGAUUUACUGGGUGUAAAGGGAGCGUAGACGGCGCGGCAAGUCUGAAGUGAAAGGCAGGGGCUUAACCCCUGAACUGCUUUGGAAACUGCCAUGCUAGAGUGCUGGAGAGGUAAGUGGAAUUCCUAGUGUAGCGGUAAAAUGCGUAAAUAUAUGUAAGAACACCGGUGGCGAAGGCGGCUUGCUGGGCCUGUACUGACAUUGAGGCACGAAAGCGUGGGGAGCAAACAGG
rnacentral:rRNA from 1 species